rnacentral:rRNA from 1 species
CCUACGGGAGGCAGCAGUAGGGAAUAUUGCUCAAUGGGGGAAACCCUGAAGCAGCAACGCCGCGUGGCGGAUGAAGGUUUUAGGAUUGUAAACUCCUUUUGUGAGAGAAGAUAAUGACGGUACCCCAAUAGCAAGCCACGGCUAACUACGUGCCAGCAGCCGCGGUAAUACGUAGGUGGCAAGCGUUAUCCGGACGGACUGGGCGUAAAGGGUGCGUAGGUGGUUUAGUAAGUUGGCGGUGUAAUUCCGGGGCUCAACCUCGGCGCUACCGCCAAAACUAUUAGACUAGAGUGCAGGAGGGGUAAGUGGAAGUCCUAGUGUAGCGGUGGAAUGCGUAGAUAUUAGGAGGAACAUCAGGGGCGAAGGCGACUUACUGGACUGUAACUGACACUGAGGCACGAAAGCGUGGGGAGCAAACAGGAUUAGAUACCCCUGUAGUC